rnacentral:tRNA from 1 species
GCACUCGUUGCCCGGCACAACAGCGCCUCGUAUUUCCAAUCCGAGGGUCGGGGGUUCGAGUCCUCCCGGGCGCGCCA